rnacentral:lncRNA from 1 species
GGGGUUUGUUAUUUAAGGUGGAUCCCUACAGAUAUAGCAAAUUUUUUUUCACCAUUGAAUUUUUCUUAAAAUUUGCAUACAUAUACUAUGCAAUGGCCUCUAUGAAAAUUUGAGUUAAAAAUAGUAUGUCACCAGACUCGUUUCCAUGGUAACGGUCACCAAAGUUGGUACACCACGUGUAUGCAUAAAUACAUACCUGAU